GGUCUUGUGGUGAAAUUCAUGUUGAGUUGCAAGCUCAUCGAUGCGUGUUAGUAGCAUGCCAAG
rnacentral:tRNA from 1 species